CAUGAAGCUGGAAUCGCUAGUAAUCGCGGAUCAGAAUGCCGCGGUGAAUACGUUCCCGGGUCUUGUACACACCGCCCGUCACACCAUGGGAGUCGGAAAUGCCCGAAGUCUGUGACCCAACCUGAGAAGGAGGGAGCAGCCGAAGGCAGGUCGGAUGACUGGGGUGAAGUCGUAACAAGGUAGC
rnacentral:rRNA from 1 species